rnacentral:rRNA from 1 species
UAGGGAAUCUUCGGCAAUGGACGAAAGUCUGACCGAGCACCGCCGCGUGAGUGAAGAAGGUUUUCGGAUCGUAAAACUCUGUUGUUAGAGAAGAACAAGGACGUUAGUAACUGAACGUCCCCUGACGGUAUCUAACCAGAAAGCCACGGCUAACUACGUGCCAGCAGCCGCGGUAAUACGUAGGUGGCAAGCGUUGUCCGGAUUUAUUGGGCGUAAAGCGAGCGCAGGCGGUUUCUUAAGUCUGAUGUGAAAGCCCCCGGCUCAACCGGGGAGGGUCAUUGGAAACUGGGAGACUUGAGUGCAGAAGAGGAGAGUGGAAUUCCAUGUGUAGCGGAGAAAUGCGGAGAUAUAUGGAGGAACACCAGGGGCGAAGGCGGCUCUCUGGUCUGUAACUGACGCUGAGGCUCGAAAGCGUGGGGAGAAAACAGG